AUACAGCUGACUAGUCCCAAAUAGGACGAAACACGCGUCCUGGAU
rnacentral:hammerhead_ribozyme from 1 species